rnacentral:lncRNA from 1 species
GCGGCGAGUGUGAGAGCGAAAGACACUGCUCUGCAAUGCACCCUCUCACCUCCCAACCUCCUGCUUCACUGACCACUCUAGAACCAGACGCAGAAGCACGAGGCAGUCCUCCACUCGAGGUGACAUCACGAUGCACCAAGGUCUGUGGAAAGGGCAGCCUCACGCGGUCCUGCUCAAAGGUGUGCCUGGUGCGUGUCUUCCCCCGGGGUCAACCGGAGCACUCCAUCAAAAUGUAUGUCAUCAUUGACGAUCAGAGUAACCGCUCACUGGCCUGCUCUGAAUUUUUCCACCUGUUCCGGGUUGAGAGCAACCUGUCACCAUACCUGAUGAAGACAUGCGCAGGCACCACGGAGAUGACUGGAAGAAAGGCGGUAGGCUUCCAAAUUGAAGCAGUGAAUGGAGGUGUGUGCAUGGACCUUCCACCACUCAUUGAGUGCAAUGAGAUAAUGACCAAUAGAUCUGAGAUUCCAACUCCAGAGGUCGCUCUCGCGCACGCUCACCUAAGGCACAUUGCUCCCCACAUUCCCAAGCUAGAUCCUGACGCGCAGAUGAUGAUCCUGCUAGGGAGAGACAUGAUACGUGUGCACAAGGUGCGAGAGCAACUCAAUGGACCACAUAAUGCACCCUUUGCUCAGCGUCUAGACUUAGGCUGGGUAAUUGUAGGUGACGUGUGUAUUGACAAUGCUCAUAAACCAACUCUGAGUGUCUUCAGAACCCACAUCCUACAGAACGGACGCCCGUCUCUCCUCACUCCUUGCCAUAACAGCAUCAGGGUAAAGGAAAAACCGUGCUACGGCGGGGAGCGCAGGUAUGGUCUCUCUACAUCCACGUCAAAACCUAUGCAACCUGAAGACAAGCUCGGGCUUAUGGUCUUUCAGCGUACAGACAAUGACAACAAAUGUGCCAUGUCCUUCGAGGAUGAGAUCUUUCUAAAGAUUAUGGAGAAAGAAGUCCAUCAGGAUGAAAAGAACAAUUGGGUAGCUCCCUUACCGUUCAAGUCACCUCGUCCCCCACUUCCGAACAACAGAGAGCAAGCACUGUCCCGCCU